AUUGAACGCUGGCGGCAUGCCUUACACAUGCAAGUCGAACGGUAACGGGUCCUUCGGGAUGCCGACGAGUGGCGAACGGGUGAGUAAUAUAUCGGAACGUGCCCAGUAGUGGGGGAUAACUGCUCGAAAGAGCAGCUAAUACCGCAUACGACCUGAGGGGGAAAGGGGGGGAUCGCAAGACCUCUCGCAAUUGGAGCGGCCGAUCUCGGAUUAGCUAGGUGGUGGGGUAAAGGCCUACCAAGGCAACGAUCUGUAGUUGGUCUGAGAGGACGACCAGCCACACUGGGACUGAGACACGGCCCAGACUCCUACGGGAGGCAGCAGUGGGGAAUUUUGAACAAUGGGCGCAAGCCUGAUCCAGCAAUGCCGCGUGCAGGAAGAAGGCCUUCGGGUUGUAAACUGCUUUUGUCAGGGAAGAAAUCUUCUGGGCUAAUACCCCGGGAGGAUGACGGUACCUGAAGAAUAAGCACCGGCUAACUACAUGCCAGCAGCCGCCGUAA
rnacentral:rRNA from 1 species